GACGAACGCUGGCGGCGUGCUUAACACAUGCGAGUCGAACGGAAAGGCCCUGCUUUUGUGGGGUGCUCGAGUGGCGAACGGGUGAGUAACACGUGAGUAACCUGCCCUUGACUUUGGGAUAACUUCAGGAAACUGGGGCUAAUACCGGAUAGGAGCUCCUGCUGCAUGGUGGGGGUUGGAAAGUUUCGGCGGUUGGGGAUGGACUCGCGGCUUAUCAGCUUGUUGGUGGGGUAGUGGCUUACCAAGGCUUUGACGGGUAGCCGGCCUGAGAGGGUGACCGGCCACAUUGGGACUGAGAUACGGCCCAGACUCCUACGGGAGGCAGCAGUGGGGAAUAUUGCGCAAUGGGCGGAAGCCUGAUGCAGCAACGCCGCGUGCGGGAUGACGGCCUUCGGGUUGUAAACCGCUUUCGCCUGUGACGAAGCGUGAGUGACGGUAAUGGGUAAAGAAGCACCGGCUAACUACGUG
rnacentral:rRNA from 1 species